AGUGAACGCUGGCGGCAGGCCUAAUACAUGCAAGUCGAACGGCAGCACAGCAGAGCUUGCUCUGUGGGUGGCGAGUGGCGGACGGGUGAGGAAUACGUGGGAAUCUGCCCAGUCGUGGGGGAUAACGUAGGGAAACUUACGCUAAUACCGCAUGCGCCCUUCGGGGAAAGCCGGGGACCUUCGGGCCUGGCGCGAUUGGAUGAGCCCACGUCGGAUUAGCUAGUUGGCGGGGUAAAGGCCCACCAAGGCGACGAUCCGUAGCUGGUCUGAGAGGAUGAUCAGCCACACUGGAACUGAGACACGGUCCAGACUCCUACGGGAGGCAGCAGUAGGGAAUAUUGGACAAUGGGCGCAAGCCUGAUCCAGCCAUGCCGCGUGAGUGAAGAAGGGCCCUCGGGUUGUAAAGCUCUUUGUCCGGAAAGAAAAGCGCCGGGUUAAUACCCUGGUGUCCUGACGGUACCGGAAGAAUAAGCACCGGCUAACUCGUGCCAGCAGCCGCGGUAAU
rnacentral:rRNA from 1 species